GACAAUCGCAUCGACAUAGUCCUCUAGUUCACCGUCUUUCACGUACUAUGUGUCUAUAAUAUGCAUACGUGUGUACAUAUGAAUAUAGUUCGAAAUAAAUAUUUAGCUACAUUCUUUGUUACUUAUUAAAGAAUGGAAACAAUGCGAUCUUGCGGUUGCAAGAAAAUAAGAUCUUGUGUUCUCUCCCAAAAUUGAACAUGAGAUUGUGAAAGCCAAUCUGAAUACUGAAUUGUGAGAUUUUCUAAAUCCUUGGGAGAUUGGUUACAAUCGAAGAACGCGCACGCUCUUGAGAAAGAAUACCUUGGGAAGAUUCACUCAGAAUGGUAGGAGGAGGAAGCAGAAUGUCGAUCCAAAAUGCAACAACUCGAAGAAAAGAAAGCUUCGCUUGGGUUCCUUCGAUGGUUUUCCAAAGACGACUCGAUUCGUGCAAUUUUAAAUUUUGCCAAAACAAUGUACCUUAGAGUAUGAUCUACCACGUGGAACUUUGAUAGAUGAGUGUUGGAUUUGCCGAUGAAAGAAUAGUUAGUUGAUUAAUUACCUUGAAUCGUUGCAGAGAAUAUUCUUCCGCCAUACUCCAAGGCAUCAUCUUCUUGCUGAUAAUGAUGAUGGUGAUAAAAAUGAAAAUAAUAUGAAAGAUAAUGAUAAUAUCGUUGUAAGGCUCUCGAUGCCAGAGAGGGAUCUCUUAUGAUUCUUUAUGAUACGAUGCAAGGUGCCAAUGGGAACAUUGCGUGGUUUAAGAAAACAUAUAACUUCGUAGACAGCAUAAAUUGUAGAAACAAUGAAUAUUUUAUCAUCAUCAUUAGCCUCGUUAAGUAUAAAGAAAUAAAUAAAUAAUAUCCAUUGGAAAAUUUUUUUCAGAAAAUUAGCAGGAUUUGUAAAUUAAAAUCUUGGUCUA